rnacentral:rRNA from 1 species
CCUACGGGGGGCUGCAGUGGGGAAUCUUCCGCAAUGGACGAAAGUCUGACGGAGCAACGCCGCGUGAGUGAUGAAGGUCUUCGGAUUGUAAAGCUCUGUUAAUCGGGACGAAAGAGCCUAGUGUGAAUAAUGCUAGGAAGUGACGGUACCGGAAUAGAAAGCCACGGCUAACUACGUGCCAGCAGCCGCGGUAAUACGUAGGUGGCAAGCGUUGUCCGGAAUUAUUGGGCGUAAAGCGCGCGCAGGCGGAUCUGCCAGUCUGUCUUAAAAGUUCGGGGCUUAACCCCGUGAUGGGAUGGAAACUACAGAUCUAGAGUAUCGGAGAGGAAAGUGGAAUUCCUAGUGUAGCGGUGAAAUGCGUAGAUAUUAGGAAGAACACCAGUGGCGAAGGCGACUUUCUGGACGAAAACUGACGCUGAGGCGCGAAAGCCAGGGGAGCGAACGGGCUUAGAUACCCUAGUAGUC